CACAACACAACACAACACAACACAACACAACACAACACAACACAACACAAUCACAAAGUUAUCUGAAUUCCAUCACCCCGGGCAAAGUUUCCAGUGGACUGAAUUUCCGACAUUGCGCAAUCUACAUCAAAACAAACGUUUUUCGUGAAGAUAAAUUUUCCAGAGCAGGGGAACACCGCGGAAAAACGUCUGCGCAUGCACCAAAUUAUGAAAAUAUGGCGGGGAAUUUGAAUAUCAAUUUCUAAAACAAAAACAUGCUUAUUAAUUGGUCAAAAAUUAG